UCCAGGUUUCUCCAGAACCUGUCUCCAGAGUGAAAGUGAGGUGAAACAGUCAAAAUCCAGCCCUUCUGAUUUGAAUCACGCUACCCAGACCUUCCAGGGUUGCCAGCAUCGGCCUCCUCCCCACUUGGAUGUGGCAGUCCUUGGAAAGAUCCAGAACAGAGAAGAAGCAGAGUUUGGUGGCACAGCUUAGCCUGGGCACAAGGGCAGCUGGGUCCUCACUCCAAUUCCAUCUCAAACUCUCCAGGAGGCUUGGGGCACUUCAUUCCUUGACUCUGGACCUCCACAUCUGUCAGCUGAGAUCCCACUCUAUUCCUGAGUCAUCUCUUGAUAAUGAUGUUGGUCCCUAACCCCACUUAAGGAGGAAAAGCAGCUUCCCAUGUCUGGAAGAGGAGGGGCCGUGUUGGCCUUGAUUUAUGUCCAGAGAAGAUGUAAUUAUCUCUUUCUGGGAUAAAACAAUCUUCCAGCUGGGAGUGAGAGCCAAGAAGCCAGAACGUUCUGCUCAAGAGGAGAUUGCAGCAGGGCCCUGCAGAAGGUUGGCCAAGUCACUCACUGCACAAGGGUGCUCUGCUGAAGAGGAAGGAGGUGGUGGGAGCAGGGGCUUAAAUCCAGCCUGCACACCACUGACCAAAUCAUGUGCCCCGUGCAAGGUCAUCUCAGUUCUGAUGGAGGUGGACCUUUUGUAAGUCAGGCUGUCUGGGGCACAGUGCUACGUGGUCUCUGUGAGUCAAGCUCUGUGCCUAGGCCCAGGUCUUUCCUUAGAUUGCAAACACAUUAGUUUCUAAAGACAGCAAGAGAGAUAGCAAAAAACAGAAGUGAAGGCUGUGUGACGGAGGGGGAGUGAAGAGAAGCUCCUCUUGGAAACCAUCUUGGGUGUCUGGGGGGGCUGACACCUCCAGUGCCUCCCAGCUGACUUCCAAAUGAGCAGGGUGCUGAGAGGAAGCCAGUGAAAGGUCACUCCCACCCUCCCUUCUUUACUCUUCUUCCUUUGGGGUUCAGCUCAGCCUCCCUGGUCCUCUCCACCUACACUAGGGCUCCCAUUAUAGGUUCUCUGAGCACCUUUGCUUUUCCUUGGUGACACUCAAGCGAUACUUUGUAAGUAAACGUGUGUGGGGAAUUUGAUUUGCCUCCCUCUCCCUGACGAUAUGCUGUGUGAGGGCAAACCAUGUUGGGUGCUGCUUGUGUACCCCCAGGACCCCGCACAGUGUCUGAGGC